rnacentral:rRNA from 1 species
UACGGAAGGCAGCAGUAGGGAAUCUUCCGCAAUGGACGAAAGUCUGACGGAGCAACGCCGCGUGAACGAUGAAGGCUUUCGGGUCGUAAAGUUCUGUUGUUAGGGAAGAACAAGUACCAGAGUAACUGCUGGUACCUUGACGGUACCUAACCAGAAAGCCACGGCUAACUACGUGCCAGCAGCCGCGGUAAUACGUAGGUGGCAAGCGUUGUCCGGAAUUAUUGGGCGUAAAGCGCGCGCAGGUGGUCCUUUUAAGUCUGAUGUGAAAGCCCACGGCUCAACCGUGAGGGUCAUUGGAAACUGGGGACUUGAGUGCAGAAGAGGAAAGUGGAAUUCCACGUGUAGCGGUGAAAUGCGUAGAGAUGUGGAGGAACACCAGUGGCGAAGGCGACUUUUCUGGUCUGUAACUGACACUGAGGCGCGAAAGCGUGGGGAGCGAACAGGGAUUAGGAUACCCGU